GUGCGAUUCGGCGCACGCCGCGGAGGUCCUGACCGCAGCAAUUCAACGACACAGAACGCGAUCGUUUCUUACCCACUGGCGCCUGGUGAUUUUAACUCUUUUUCGACCGUUUUGUGUUUGCGCGUGGCGUUCGCCUCCUUUGACCACCUGUUGCCGUGUGAGCUGGGGUGUCUGCGGCUCGGUUGCCUGCAUUGCGUCUUCCACUCUCUUCUUCUCGUCCAGAGGAGUGGCGUGCCUCCCCGCUCCGACUUCCCCCGCCUGUUGCCUUUCUUCCCCAUCCCUCGUCGGGACCGUCCCACGGAGAAGGUCGAGCAGUUCAUUCCCGCUGUUCCGCGAUGUUUUUCUCGACGCUCGGCGGCUGAUUUCGCCCGUCGACCUCCGACGUGUCCGCGUCCGUUCGGAGACGCGCUUCCCCUCGACUUCCUGAGUUGCGCCUGAGGCACGGAUCCCAGACACUGUCGGAAACGGCAGAGACAGCGGAUCGCCUCGCUUCUGUCCCCUAAGCGAGGAAGAAACCGUAGAGUCCUCGAGAGAGAGAAACCGGCGUGAAUCGUCAGAAACGGUCGCGACUUGCGCUGCAGCGUCGUCCAGCUGGGCAGCGGCGUAGGAGACGGCGGGAGAGGACGCAGGAGCAGAUGGAGACAGGCACUGGAAAGUGAGGCACAGAACGGCAAAGGCCAGAUGCGCCGUAGAGGGGUGACGGAAGGCGACGCAUGCGGCGCCGAAAGAAGUGAAGGCCAUCAUCGACGCGACGUGAAAUGGUGAUAAGGACACCUCCCGGGACGGAGACGCGCACAGAGGCCGGACGGGCGAGACCGACUGGAACAGGCGGGGCAGAGGGGAGUGACACGGAAAACGGAAAGUGGGCACCGAAAAAGAAAAGUUGACCAGACAGCUGGGACACAAUACGGAAGGAGAAGAGCGCCGGCGCAAUUCAGAGCGCAUCUGCAAGAGCGCCUGAUCCCCUCGCGGCCGCUGUGAGGACGCCCAGCAGAGAAUCGGUCUCGAAAAGAACCAAAGAGCAGCCAGAAAAAGGGGGUGUUCGGGGGACUGAGCAAGUUGUCGCCUGCACUCCUUUUCUCCCUGUGAGAAAAACCACGAUGGGCGUGGUCCAGCGCCGAGAAAACUCGCCUCCAAGCCGCUCGAAGGCGCCACGGGUCGGUCGUGCGGACGCUCGCUCCGCAGCGUCAGGCACGAUGUACGCGGGCUGCAGAAGAGCGGCUGUCGCGUACAAGAGAGAAGGCAACUUUUUCCCGAAACUGUUGAGAAGGAAAGGAAAGACACAACCUGAGUCCGGAAUCUGUUUUCCGGGCACUGGAACCAAAGCAUGGGCAGCGCCUCAAACGCGGAGUGGCGCAGGACUUUGUUUUUGUGGGACAGGAUCAAUUUGACGAAAUCAGCGGCGGCGUCGGGGCAUUGGUGGUUCGCAUAAUGAAAAAUGAACCGGCUUGGGCUAUGCCUCUAGCAUUUAGAUAUCCUUCAGAAACAUCUUGUGCAUUUGCUAGCGUUCAGCAUCUAGAUAGAGAAGCGGCGCGUCACCGCUUUCCUCCCAUCUCUCUCCUCGGUGCUCCUCUUCUUCCCGUUGAGUCGCCCGUGGAGAUGCAGCCGUCCUUCUCUGUAUACAGGCCAGGAUAGAUUCAGAUAGGUACUUGAAAAGUAGACAUAGAGUUGUCGGGGAGUUCACGGUUCUGUACAAGUGGAGGAGAACCGAGAAAGGCAGUUCUCCACGUAUCUCUUUUACAGCACAACAACCACGAAUUGGCCACGUUGGCCCCCGCGUUCUUGUCAGGGUAGACUGCAGUCGACCGUAACGCCAACCCCCCUUGCCUUUCGGUUGUGCUCCCUUCCCCGGUUACAUCACUAGAGGUUCGUUUAAGACAUAAACUGACA
rnacentral:lncRNA from 1 species